rnacentral:rRNA from 1 species
CAGCAGCCACGGGAAUACGGAGGGUGCAAGCGUUGUCCGGAUUUAUUGGGUUUAAAGGGUGCGUAGGCGGCCUAAUAAGUCAGUGGUGAAAGCCUCCAGCUUAACUGGAGAACUGCCAUUGAUACUGUUAGGCUUGAGUAUACUUGAGGUAGGCGGAAUUGACAGUGUAGCGGUGAAAUGCAUAGAUAUUGUCAAGAACACCAAUUGCGAAGGCAGCUUACUGAAUUAUAACUGACGCUGAGGCACGAAAGUGUGGGUAUCAAACAGGAUUAGAUACCCCGGUAGUCCCUGUCUCUUAUAC